UACGAAGGGGGCUAGCGUUGUUCGGAAUUACUGGGCGUAAAGGGCGCGUAGGCGGUGUGUCAAGUCAGGCGUGAAAGCCCCGGGCUCAACCUGGGAACCGCGCUUGAGACUGGCACGCUAGAGUUCGGGAGAGGAUGGUGGAAUUCCCAGUGUAGCGGUGAAAUGUGCAGAUAUCGGGAAGAACACCCGUGGCGAAGGCGGUUCUCUGGGACGGUACUGACGCUGAGACGCGAAAGCGUGGGGAGCGAACAGG
rnacentral:rRNA from 1 species